GGUUAAGCGACUAAGCGUACACGGUGGAUGCCCUGGCAGUCAGAGGCGAUGAAGGACGUGCUAAUCUGCGAAAAGCGUCGGUAAGGUGAUAUGAACCGUUACAGCCGGCGAUGUCCGAAUGGGGAAACCCAGUGCAAUUCGUUGCACUAUCGUUAACUGAAUACAUAGGUUAACGAGGCGAACCGGGGGAACUGAAACAUCUAAGUACCCCGAGGAAAAGAAAUCAACCGAGAUUCCCCCAGUAGCGGCGAGCGAACGGGGAGCAGCCCAGAGUCUGAAUCAGCUUGUGUGUUAGUGGAACGGUCUGGAAAGUCCGACGGUACAGGGUGAUAGUCCCGUACACCAAAAUGCACAGGUUGUGAACUCGAAGAGUAGGGCGGGACACGUGGUAUCCUGUCUGAAUAUGGGGGGACCAUCCUCCAAGGCUAAAUACUCCUGACUGACCGAUAGUGAACCAGUACCGUGAGGGAAAGGCGAAAAGAACCCCGGCGAGGGGAGUGAAAAAGAACCUGAAACCGUGUACGUACAAGCAGUGGGAGCACCUUCGGGUGUGACUGCGUACCUUUUGUAUAAUGGGUCAGCGACUUAUAUUCUGUAGCAAGGUUAACCGUAUAGGGGAGCCGCAGGGAAACCGAGUCUUAACUGGGCGUUAAGUUGCAGGGUAUAGACCCGAAACCCGGUGAUCUAGCCAUGGGCAGGUUGAAGGUUGGGUAACACUAACUGGAGGACCGAACCGACUAAUGUUGAAAAAUUAGCGGAUGACUUGUGGCUGGGGGUGAAAGGCCAAUCAAACCGGGAGAUAGCUGGUUCUCCCCGAAAGCUAUUUAGGUAGCGCCUCGUGAACUCAUCUUCGGGGGUAGAGCACUGUUUCGGCUAGGGGGUCAUCCCGACUUACCAACCCGAUGCAAACUACGAAUACCGAAGAAUGUUAUCACGGGAGACACACGGCGGGUGCUAACGUCCGUCGUGAAGAGGGAAACAACCCAGACCGCCAGCUAAGGUCCCAAAGUCAUGGUUAAGUGGGAAACGAUGUGGGAAGGCACAGACAGCCAGGAUGUUGGCUUAGAAGCAGCCAUCAUUUAAAGAAAGCGUAAUAGCUCACUGGUCGAGUCGGCCUGCGCGGAAGAUGUAACGGGGCUAAACCAUGCACCGAAGCUGCGGCAGCGACGCUUAUGCGUUGUUGGGUAGGGGAGCGUUCUGUAAGCCUGCGAAGGUGGCCUGUGAGGGUUGCUGGAGGUAUCAGAAGUGCGAAUGCUGACAUAAGUAACGAUAAAGCGGGUGAAAAGCCCGCUCGCCGGAAGACCAAGGGUUCCUGUCCAACGUUAAUCGGGGCAGGGUGAGUCGACCCCUAAGGCGAGGCCGAAAGGCGUAGUCGAUGGGAAACAGGUUAAUAUUCCUGUACUUGGUGUUACUGCGAAGGGGGGACGGAGAAGGCUAUGUUAGCCGGGCGACGGUUGUCCCGGUUUAAGCAUGUAGGCGGAGGUUCCAGGUAAAUCCGGUACCUUUUAACGCUGAGGUGUGAUGACGAGGCACUACGGUGCUGAAGUAACAAAUGCCCUGCUUCCAGGAAAAGCCUCUAAGCAUCAGGUAACAUCAAAUCGUACCCCAAACCGACACAGGUGGUCAGGUAGAGAAUACCAAGGCGCUUGAGAGAACUCGGGUGAAGGAACUAGGCAAAAUGGUGCCGUAACUUCGGGAGAAGGCACGCUGGUGUGUAGGUGAAGUCCCUGCGGAUGGAGCUGAGACCAGUCGAAGAUACCAGCUGGCUGCAACUGUUUAUUAAAAACACAGCACUGUGCAAACACGAAAGUGGACGUAUACGGUGUGACGCCUGCCCGGUGCCGGAAGGUUAAUUGAUGGGGUUAUCCGUAAGGAGAAGCUCUUGAUCGAAGCCCCGGUAAACGGCGGCCGUAACUAUAACGGUCCUAAGGUAGCGAAAUUCCUUGUCGGGUAAGUUCCGACCUGCACGAAUGGCGUAAUGAUGGCCAGGCUGUCUCCACCCGAGACUCAGUGAAAUUGAACUCGCUGUGAAGAUGCAGUGUACCCGCGGCAAGACGGAAAGACCCCGUGAACCUUUACUAUAGCUUGACACUGAACAUUGAGCCUUGAUGUGUAGGAUAGGUGGGAGGCUUUGAAGCGUGGACGCCAGUCUGCGUGGAGCCAACCUUGAAAUACCACCCUUUAAUGUUUGAUGUUCUAACGUUGGCCCCUUAUCGGGGUUGCGGACAGUGUCUGGUGGGUAGUUUGACUGGGGCGGUCUCCUCCCAAAGAGUAACGGAGGAGCACGAAGGUUAGCUAAUCCUGGUCGGACAUCAGGAGGUUAGUGCAAUGGCAUAAGCUAGCUUGACUGCGAGCGUGACGGCGCGAGCAGGUGCGAAAGCAGGUCAUAGUGAUCCGGUGGUUCUGAAUGGAAGGGCCAUCGCUCAACGGAUAAAAGGUACUCCGGGGAUAACAGGCUGAUACCGCCCAAGAGUUCAUAUCGACGGCGGUGUUUGGCACCUCGAUGUCGGCUCAUCACAUCCUGGGGCUGAAGUAGGUCCCAAGGGUAUGGCUGUUCGCCAUUUAAAGUGGUACGCGAGCUGGGUUUAGAACGUCGUGAGACAGUUCGGUCCCUAUCUGCCGUGGGCGCUGGAGAAUUGAGGGGGGCUGCUCCUAGUACGAGAGGACCGGAGUGGACGCAUCACUGGUGUUCGGGUUGUCAUGCCAAUGGCACUGCCCGGUAGCUAAAUGCGGAAGAGAUAAGUGCUGAAAGCAUCUAAGCACGAAACUUGCCCCGAGAUGAGUUCUCCCUGAGACUUUAAGUCUCCUGAAGGAACGUUGAAGACGACGACGUUGAUAGGCCGGGUGUGUAAGCGCAGCGAUGCGUUGAGCUAACCGGUACUAAUGAACCGUGAGGCUUAACCUU
rnacentral:rRNA from 1 species